AUGCAAGUUCGAGCGGUAAGGCCCUUCGGGGUACACGAGCGGCGAACGGGUGAGUAACACGUGGGUGAUCUGCCUCGUACUUCGGGAUAAGCCUGGGAAACUGGGUCUAAUACCGGAUAGGACCUCUUGUCGCAUGGCUUGGGGUGGAAAGAUUUAUCGGUGCGAGAUGGGCCCGCGGCCUAUCAGCUUGUUGGUGGGGUAAUGGCCUACCAAGGCGACGACGGGUAGCCGGCCUGAGAGGGCGACCGGCCACACUGGGACUGAGACACGGCCCAGACUCCUACGGGAGGCAGCAGUGGGGAAUAUUGCACAAUGGGCGGAAGCCUGAUGCAGCGACGCCGCGUGAGGGAUGACGGCCUUCGGGUUGUAAACCUCUUUCGACAGGGACGAAGCGCAAGUGACGGUACCUGUAGAAGAAGCACCGGCCAACUACGUGCCAGCAGCCGCGGUAAUACGUAGGGUGCGAGCGUUGUCCGGAAUUACUGGGCGUAAAGAGCUUGUAGGCGGUUUGUCGCGUCGUCUGUGAAAACUCACAGCUCAACUGUGAGCUUGCAGGCGAUACGGGCAGACUUGAGUACUGCAGGGGAGACUGGAAUUCCUGGUGUAGCGGUGAAAUGCGCAGAUAUCAGGAGGAACACCGGUGGCGAAGGCGGGUCUCUGGGCAGUAACUGACGCUGAGAAGCGAAAGCGUGGGUAGCGAACAGGAUUAGAUACCCUGGUAGUCCACGCCGUAAACGGUGGGCGCUAGGUGUGGGUUUCCUUCCACGGGAUCCGUGCCGUAGCUAACGCAUUAAGCGCCCCGCCUGGGGAGUACGGCCGCAAGGCUAAAACUCAAAGGAAUUGACGGGGGCCCGCACAAGCGGCGGAGCAUGUGGAUUAAUUCGAUGCAACGCGAAGAACCUUACCUGGGUUUGACAUACACCGGAAACCUGCAGAGAUGUAGGCCCCCUUGUGGUCGGUGUACAGGUGGUGCAUGGCUGUCGUCAGCUCGUGUCGUGAGAUGUUGGGUUAAGUCCCGCAACGAGCGCAACCCUUGUCCUGUGUUGCCAGCACGUAAUGGUGGGGACUCGCAGGAGACUGCCGGGGUCAACUCGGAGGAAGGUGGGGACGACGUCAAGUCAUCAUGCCCCUUAUGUCCAGGGCUUCACACAUGCUACAAUGGGCGGUACAGAGGGCUGCGAGACCGUGAGGUGGAGCGAAUCCCUUAAAGCCGUUCUCAGUUCGGAUCGGGGUCUGCAACUCGACCCCGUGAAGUUGGAGUCGCUAGUAAUCGCAGAUCAGCAACGCUGCGGUGAAUACGUUCCCGGGCCUUGUACACACCGCCCGUCACGUCAUGAAAGUCGGUAACACCCGAAGCCGGUGGCCCAACCC
rnacentral:rRNA from 1 species